rnacentral:rRNA from 1 species
GAUGAACGCUGACAGAAUGCUUAACACAUGCAAGUCUUUGGCGAAGCUGUGCUUGCACAGCCUAGCCAAGGCGGACGGGUGAGUAACGCGUAAGGAACUUGCCCUGCAGUCAGGGAUAACAGACGGAAACGACUGAUAAGACCUGGUAAAGUCAGGCGGACUCAUGUCCAGCCUGAUGAAAAGAGAUGCUGCAGGAGAGCCUUGCGUCCUAUUAGCUUGUUGGUGGGGUAACGGCCCACCAAGGCGAUGAUAGGUAGCCGGCCUGAGAGGGUGGACGGCCACAAGGGGACUGAGAUACGGCCCUUACUCCUACGGGAGGCAGCAGUGGGGAAUAUUGGACAAUGGGGGUAACCCUGAUCCAGCAAUUCUGUGUGCACGAUGAAGGUUUUCGGAUUGUAAAGUGCUUUCAGCAGGGAAGAAAAAAUGACGGUACCUGCAGAAGAAGCGACGGCUAAAUACGUGC